rnacentral:rRNA from 1 species
GCCUAAUACAUGCAAGUCGAGCGAAGUUUUUGGUGCUUGCACCGGAAAAACUUAGCGGCGAACGGGUGAGUAACACGUAAAGAACCUGCCUCAUAGACUGGGACAACUAUUGGAAACGAUAGCUAAUACCGGAUAACAGCAUUAACUGCAUGGUUGAUGUUUAAAAGUUGGUUUUGCUAACACUAUGAGAUGGCUUUGCGGUGCAUUAGCUAGUUGGUGGGGUAAAGGCCUACCAAGGCCGUGAUGCAUAGCCGACCUGAGAGGGUGAUCGGCCACACUGGGACUGAGACACGGCCCAGACUCCUACGGGAGGCAGCAGUAGGGAAUCUUCCGCAAUGGGCGAAAGCCUGACGGAGCAACGCCGCGUGAGUGAAGAAGGAUUUCGGUUCGUAAAGCUCUGUUGUUAGGGAAGAAAU